rnacentral:rRNA from 1 species
GAUGAACGCUGGCGGCGUGCCUAAUACAUGCAAGUCGAACGAACAGACGCGGCUCUUGCUCCUCUGUCGUUAGCGGCGGGCGGGUGAGUCACACGUGGAUCACCUCCCUAUAAUACUGGUAUCACUUCGGGACACCGGAGAUAAUACCGGAUGAUAUAUUGAACCGCGUGGUGCAAUGGUGAGAGACGGUUUUGCUGGCACGUAUAGAGGGAUACCGGCCGCAUGAGCUGGUUGGUGAGGUAACGGCUUACCAAGGCAACGAUGCGUAGCCGACCUGAGAGGGUGAUCGGCCACAUGGGAAGUGAGACAGGGUCCAGGGGACUGCGGGAGGCAGCAGUAGGGAAUGGGCGGCAAUGGGCGAAAGCAUGACGGAGUAACGGGGCGUCAGAGAUGAAGGUCCUCGGAGCGGAAAACUCUGUUAUGAGGGAAGAACAAAUGUGGAAGGAAACAUGGACGUCUUGACGGUACCGAAUCAGAAAGCCCCGGCUAACUACGUG